rnacentral:rRNA from 1 species
GACGAACGCUGGCGGCGUGCCUAAUACAUGCAAGUAGAACGCUGAAGGAGGAGCUUGCUUCUCUGGAUGAGUUGCGAACGGGUGAGUAACGCGUAGGUAACCUACCUGGUAGCGGGGGAUAACUAUUGGAAACGAUAGCUAAUACCGCAUAAAAUUGAUUAUUGCAUGAUAGUCAAUUAAAAGGUGCAAUUGCAUCACUACCAGAUGGACCUGCGUUGUAUUAGCUAGUUGGUGGGGUAACGGCUCACCAAGGCAACGAUACAUAGCCGACCUGAGAGGGUGAUCGGCCACACUGGGACUGAGACACGGCCCAGACUCCUACGGGAGGCAGCAGUAGGGAAUCUUCGGUAAUGGACGGAAGUCUGACCGAGCAACGCCGCGUGAGUGAAGAAGGUUUUCGGAUCGUAAAGCUCUGUUGUAAGAGAAGAACGAGUGUGAGAGUGGAAAGUCACACUGUGACGUAUCUACCAGAAGGACGCA